ACGUAUUAACAAGCGAUUUCCAUAAAACCGGCCACUGCAGAUUAGUACGUUCGGUUCUAUUUUGGCCAGUUGGGAACAGGCUCCACCUGCACCACUUGUGUGUAAAGAGUGUGAUCAACUUCCUUUUAUGAUAUUUGCCCAACCUGGCUUCAAGUAAGUUAGCUAUUAAAUCUAUAGCUAAUCCGCUGAAGCUAUCGUACAAAUUUUCCGAUGCGCGUGAAAUGCUAUGUACGCCCGAUAAGCUAUACAUCCCGGUACUGUCCAACAAGGGAGGGGAGUUAUUAUAUCCAACAAUUUAAAGAGAAACCAGAGAAUUCAAAACUGAAACUGCUUUAAUAUUUUUCGGAAGGAACAUUCGAAUUUGUGUU
rnacentral:sRNA from 2 species